CGGAUGUAGCUCAGUUGGUAGAGCGCCGGUUUGUGGUACCGGUGGUCGCGGGUUCAAGUCCCGUCAUUC
rnacentral:tRNA from 1 species